GCAAUCAUGUAAUGUAAUACAAUAAGGAGGGGCAAUAGAGUCAAAAGAAGCACACUGUGGGAACAAGGGAGAUAUGGCUCCAAGCCUCCAACUAACUGGAAGCCAAAAAUAAUGCAGAGGAAGGGAAUAUCAAUAGCUGGAAGGAACUAAUAAGGGAGGUCGUUGAGCAUUGUGAUCAGUGAAGUUUCAUAUUCCAUUCAUUCUUCUUCUUCCUUCAAUUUGUUUGAGUAAUUUUACUGUACACACAACAGAAAAAUCUCAAAAACCCCAAAUUAUAGUAUCAUACUUAUACAUACAUAUCUUCAAUUUGAAUUAUUUUUCUGAGAUCGUAUCAUUUGGUGCCUUCAUUGACGACAUGGCUGAGAACACCCAUUUGCAGUCUAUGCAAGCCGCCAUUAAUAAACUGCUGAGCAAUCCGAUGGUCACCAUGAACAACUCGCCAAGAUUACACAAUCCCUGGCGUCAAUUCAGAUACAGCUCGCUCAGAAAUUCAAAGAGUCACUGCGUUAACCUUCCCCUCACUCCAUUUUCGCUGCUCCGCGACAAAUGAAUGUUGAUUUUUCGCGAUUCUCCGGCGAGGAUGACGUACUCCAAUGGAUCUUCCGGGCUGAGAGAUUUUUCAGGAUCUAUGAUAUUCCUGAGAAUUAGAGGCUCGAUUUGGUUGUUGUUGGCCUCGAGGGCAGGGCCCUGUCAUGGUUCCAAAUAUGGGAAAAAUUGGAUCAGGUACAUGAUUGGCUUUCUUUUUCAACGGCACUUCAGAUUCAUUUUGGCCCAUCUCAAUUUGAAAAUCCUAGGGAAGAACUCUUGAAAUUGAAACAAUCUGCUUCUGUCAAAGUUUAUUUUGAGGCCUUUAACGAUUUAGCUGCUAGGGUGUUUGGAAUGGAUGAUAGUUUGCUGAUGGAUUGUUUUACUGGGGGAUUAUUGCCUUAGUUGCAACGUGAGGUGAAAUCGCGCUACCCAGCUUUCUUAAUGCAGGCUAACAUGUUUAGGACUAAGAUUUUUUACAGCAAUUAGUUGCUUUGUUACAAGGACCAAAUUGACAUAUAAUAUAAUUGAUCAAGGACCUGUUUGACUUA